rnacentral:lncRNA from 1 species
UCCACGGUACACCUGAAAAAAAAUUCAAUCUGUGGGUUUAAAGUUGGGAGAGAUUUAGGGGGAGAGAGAGAGAGGAUGCAUUCUUUUGGGUACAGAGCAAACGCUCUCCUAACAUUUGCUGUUACAAUUCUUGCUUUGAUAUGUGCUAUUGCUUCUUUCUCUGAUACUCUCAGCACCCCAACUCCCACCUCUAAUGUUCAGGUUCUUCUUAGAUCCAAACCCUUUUCAUUUCAGCCCCCGAAAACCUUAGAAUUUUAAUCUUUUUUAAUUUGAAUUUGAUGUGUGUGUGUUUGUUUGUGAUUGAUUUAAUGGGUUUUUGUAGGUUUUGAAUAUUAAUCGGUUCCAGAAGAAACCAGAUGGGGAUGAUGAGGUUAGUUGAAACACUCAUAUUAAUCAAGAUUUUGUGUUUUAUGUGAUAUUGAGCUUAAAGAUUGGAUUUUUAUGUGAUUUUGGUGUGUUUUAUUAAGUGUCGGGCAAUGGGGGUAUCUUUAUGUUAUGUGUUAUGUUUAUUUUGCGGAAUUUUGUAUGUAGGGAGUAAAUUUAAAGAGUGAUGAUUGUUUCGGGGUUGGGGCGGAUUGUUUGGAGGUUUUGAGGGCUUGGGUGGGACAAAAUUGUUAAAAUAUUUUAUAGGUUUUUAGCUAAUUGGGUGAGUCGUAGGGGUUGUUGAUGGGUUUCUGAAGCAACUGAUGUGGAUUUCUUGGUAUGGUUUCUCUGAUAUUUUUCUGGUGACGGGUAUAAGCGUCAUUGGUGCACAUUGAGAUAGGAAAAGAAUUGAGAUACAUAUAGGCACUGUUGGUGUGUUUUGGAAGCAAAUUAUAUGGAUUUCUUGAUAUAGAUUUUCUAAUAUUAAAUGGUGGUGAAAAGUGUGUUUGUGGAUUGUGGCAAUUAGGUAGGAUUGGAGAUUGAGAUAGAUGUAGAAGUGGUAUUAGUAAAGGAGACUCUAUUUUAGGGUUUGUGUUUCAAUUUAAUGUUUAUUCUACUGUGGGUAUGGUUCGUGAUUUGCAGGUACAGUGACUAGGGUCUUAUGAUCCUUGAGAAUUGAUAUCUACAUUCGUAGAUAUCUUUAACUUUCAUAUCUCCCUCUAUCGGGCAUAUUUUUACUCUAGUUAAGUCCUUCACAUUUAGAGAUGGAUGCCCCAAUCCUGAUUCUUCUUAUUUUCUUCACACAAAAUAAUUGCAUUCUCUUAAUGUUUUUUCCACUCUUCCCUCUUGCAUCAUUUCUUUGACCAUGAAUUUGGUUAAAUUUUUAGUUAAUUCUCUUUUUUCAUUUUUUUUCCCUUCGAAAAGCAGGGCACUAAGGUUGAGAAUGUGUUAAUAUAAUCAUUGAGUUAUUGUCGUCUUUGGUAUGUAGUUGAAUCAAAGAAUGUAAUGGUCUGGCAAUGAAUAUUUGCUGUAUCUUCAAUUCUGCCUCUAGUCUAGUCAGUAUUUGACUUCAAAGUUGAAUUUUAUUGUAGAUUAGAAAGAAGUUUUAUAUACUAAAUUUUACUCUUGUUUCUUUUUAUGCAGGUCAGCUUGACAUUUAAUAUAUCAGCAAACUUGCAAUCACUAUUCACGUGGAAUACAAAACAGGUUUGGUUCUUCACACACACACACNCAACUAAAACACCUUAUUUUUCAGAAAUAUUUGAACAAUUCUAUUAAAUUAAAUAAUUAUCACCGAUAUAUAUAUAUAUAUAUAUGUAUAUAUGAUUAUUAUUGAAUGAUGAAGCGAAAAAACGGACUUGCAGCAGAUAAGACAUUGGUUGCACGUAUUAUGAAUUAUAAUGGUGUGAGACUGUGAGUCAUGAUAGCAAAAAAAACAAUGGGAGAAGAUUUGUUUUGGGCUAUUUCGGUGGUGAUCCUUCAAAGUGCAAGUUUCGGAUGACUCAUUCUUGAGUGGAAGAUAAAGUUGGUUCCUGUCCCAAAACUAGUGACCUAUUUCGCAGUCGUAAGAACUCUGGAACAAAAUGGAUCAGAGCUGUUUCAGAAAUGACAAUCCACGGGACCUAAUGUGUUUCCAAGAGAUCUCGAUGUCAGAGUUGUGGUUGAUACUAUAACAAGCACUCUCAGUGCUCGAUACGAUAAGAAAACUGUCAAAUUUAUCUUUCAGUCCUUUAUUUCUUGGUAGAAUUGAUGCUCUAAUUCCAAUCACGCAUCAAAACUUCCCUAAAUUAGAGGUGGUGAUCCUGCAAGUUUUGGAGUCAUUCUUGAGUGGAAGACAAAGUUGGUUCCUGUCCCGAAACUAGUGACCUAUUUCGCAGUCGUAAGAACUCUGGAACAAAAUGGAUCAGAGCUGUUUCAGGAAUGGCAAUCCACGGGGCCUAAUGUGUUUCCAAGAGAUCUUGAUGUUAGAGUUGUGGUUUAUACUAUAACAAGCAGUUCCAGUGGUCGAGACGAUAGGAGAACUGUCAGAUUUAUCUUUCAAUCCUUCUUUCUUGGUAGAAUUGAUGCUCUGAUUCCAAUCAUGCAUCAAAACUUCCCUGAAUUAGGCUUACUAAAACAAGACCGCAACGAACUCAAGUUGGAUCGAAUCAGCCCCUAUGUUUUCCAAUUUCACAUUAGGGACAGACCCGAAGAUAUUACUCAACAAAACAGCCAUUCCAAGAAAUAGUUUCAAAGGAAAGUCAAGUUUCACAAAACAGCCUCUGUCAUUGGAGGCACUCAAUACUCUAUGGGAAAUGUGGCUCAAGCAACCAGUACGAGCAACACUGAUUCAGCACACACCAUUUGGAGGGAGAAUGAACGACGUCGCGGAGUCUGCAGUACUGCCGUUUCCACACAGGCCUCGAGUCCUGUACAUGAUCAACAUUGGUGUGUCCAUGAGUGAAAACCAGGAAGCAAAUGCGAAUUGGAUGAAUGAGGUGUUUAAAUACUAUGAUCCUUUUGUUACCAAGAACCCGAGAACUUCAUACGUGAAUUACAGGGAUCUUGAUCUGGGAACAGGGAGCAGGACUUGUGAAGAAGCAAGUCAGUGGAGAAAGAGAUACUACAAGAAUAAUUUUGACAGGUAGAUUAAGAUCAAGUCUGUAGUUGAUCCUCACAAUUUCUUCAAUCAUAAACAAAGUAUUCCUGUGCUCUAGGAGAAGUUGAUUCUUGUUUACCAAUUCCUUCUGCAAACUGUAUGAUUCAGUUCUAUAUAAAGUCCUUCAAAAGUAGUGAAAUAUAUUCAACAGUGAAACACUGCAGAAAAAAUGGCUAAAAGAUAUCGAUAAUUUUUUAAAAAAAUACUUAUUCUCGUCAAAUAAAUACAAUUUUUCCUAUCCUCAUUUUAAAUAAUAAUAUCUUUUUGAAUAUUUUUUAACAAAAAUAUAUAUGAUACUUUUUAGAUUUUUAAUAGACGUAAUAUCCCGUAACCCAAAGAAUUCAAUUAGGAUAACACUAAAUCUAAAUAUUUGAUUUUACAAAACAUAAUUAGAAAUAAAUUAAUACAUACCCUUUUUGACUCUCCAAUCUCCAACAUUGUCAAGUCGGGUCAUAUAGUCCACGGUACACCUGAAAAAAAAUUCAAUCUGUGGGUUUAAAGUUGGGAGAGAUUUAGGGGGAGAGAGAGAGAGGAUGCAUUCUUUUGGGUACAGAGCAAACGCUCUCCUAACAUUUGCUGUUACAAUUCUUGCUUUGAUAUGUGCUAUUGCUUCUUUCUCUGAUACUCUCAGCACCCCAACUCCCACCUCUAAUGUUC